rnacentral:rRNA from 1 species
UACGAAGGGGGCUAGCGUUGCUCGGAAUCACUGGGCGUAAAGGGCGCGUAGGCGGCCGUUCAAGUCAGGGGUGAAAGCCUGUGGCUCAACCACAGAAUUGCCUUUGAUACUGUUCGGCUAGAGACCGGAAGAGGUAAGUGGAACUGCGAGUGUAGAGGUGAAAUUCGUAGAUAUUCGCAAGAACACCAGUGGCGAAGGCGGCUCACUGGCCCGGUACUGACGCUGAGGUGCGAAAGCGUGGGGAGCAAACAGG